CCGGAAUUAUUGGGCGUAAAGAGCUCGUAGGCGUUUGUCGCGUCUGUCGUGAAAGUCCGAGGCUUAACCCCGGAUCUGCGGUGGGUACGGGCAGACUAGAGUGCAGUAGGGGAGACUGGAAUUCCUGGUGUAGCGGUGGAAUGCGCAGAUAUCAGGAGGAACACCGAUGGCGAAGGCAGGUCUCUGGGCUGUAACUGACGCUGAGGAGCGAAAGCAUGGGGAGCGAACAGGAUUAGAUACCCUGGUAGUCCAUGCCGUAAACGUUGGGCACUAGGUGUGGGGACCAUUCCACGGUUUCCGCGCCGCAGCUAACGCAUUAAGUGCCCCGCCUGGGGAGUACGGCCGCAAGGCUAAAACUCAAAGGAAUUGACGGGGGCCCGCACAAGCGGCGGAGCAUGCGGAUUAAUUCGAUGCAACGCGAAGAACCUUACCAAGGCUUGACAUGUUCUCGAUCGCCGUAGAGAUACGGUUUCCCCUUUGGGGCGGGUUCACAGGUGGUGCAUGGUUGUCGUCAGCUCGUGUCGUGAGAUGUUGGGUUAAGUCCCGCAACGAGCGCAACCCUCGUUCCAUGUUGCCAGCACGUAAUGGUGGGGACUCAUGGGAGACUGCCGGGGUCAACUCGGAGGAAGGUGAGGACGACGUCAAAUCAUCAUGCCCCUUAUGUCUUGGGCUUCACGCAUGCUACAAUGGCCGGUACAAUGGGUUGCGAUACUGUGAGGUGGAGCUAAUCCCAAAAAGCCGGUCUCAGUUCGGAUUGGGGUCUGCAACUCGACCCCAUGAAGUCGGAGUCGCUAGUAAUCGCAGAUCAGCAACGCUGCGGUGAAUACGUUCCCGGGCCUUGUACACACCGCCCGUCAAGUCACGAAAGUUGGUAACACCCGAAGCCGCGUGGCCUAACCCUUGUGGGGGAGCCG
rnacentral:rRNA from 1 species